rnacentral:rRNA from 1 species
UGGGGAAUAUUGCACAAUGGAGGGAACUCUGAUGCAGCGACGCCGCGUGAACGAAGAAGGCUUUCGAGUCGUAAAGUUCUUUUAUAUGGGAAGAUAAUGACGGUACCAUAAGAAAAAGCCCCGGCUAACUACGUGCCAGCAGCCGCGGUAAUACGUAGGGGGCUAGCGUUGUCCGGAAUCACUGGGCGUAAAGGGUUCGCAGGCGGAAAUGCAAGUCAGGUGUAAAAGGCAGUAGCUUAACUACUGUAAGCAUUUGAAACUGCAUAUCUUGAGAAGGGUAGAGGUAAGUGGAAUUUUUAGUGUAGCGGUGAAAUGCGUAGAAAUUAAAAAAAAUACCGGUGGCGAAGGCGACUUACUGGGCUCAUUCUGACGCUGAGGAACGAAAGCGUGGGUAGCAAACAGG